rnacentral:tRNA from 1 species
GCCAGAGUGGUGGAACGGCAGACACGCCGGCUUUAGGUGCCGGUGCCCUUUGGGUGUGCGGGUUCGAGUCCCGCCUCUGGCACAA